AUCUUUGCGCUUGGGGCAAUGACACAGCUAGUGAGGUUCUAACCGAGGCGCGUCUAUUGCUGGUUGAAAACUAUUUCCAAAUCCCCUCUUCGGCCUUGGUUUUGCCUUGGCCCAUUGAGAAUUUUUGAGAGGGCUCCCUCAUCAAGGGUAAAGCC